UAGUUAGUGGAAGCGUCUGGAAAGGCGCGCGAUACAGGGUGACAGCCCCGUACACAAAAGCGCAUGUGCUGUGAGCUCGAUGAGUAGGGCGGGACACGUGGUAUCCUGUCUGAAUAUGGGGGGACCAUCCUCCAAGGCUAAAUACUCCUGACUGACCGAUAGUGAACCAGUACCGUGAGGGAAAGGCGAAAAGAACCCCGGCGAGGGGAGUGAAAAAGAACCUGAAACCGUGUACGUACAAGCAGUGGGAGCCCCACCACCAAAGCAUUCUCUGGUGUUGAAGGCCCUGCAAAGCAGCAUCGCGGUGGCGGAGCGUCGUUUGCGACGCCCAACACACAAAACAAGCGGUGAGUGCUUUGGGGUGGGGUGACUGCGUACCUUUUGUAUAAUGGGUCAGCGACUUAUAUUCUGUAGCAAGGUUAACCGAAUAGGGGAGCCGGAGGGAAACCGAGUCUUAAUUGGGCGUUAAGUUGCAGGGUAUAGACCCGAAACCCGGUGAUCUAGCCAUGGGCAGGUUGAAGGUUGGGUAACACUAACUGGAGGACCGAACCGACUAAUGUUGAAAAAUUAGCGGAUGACCUGUGGCUGGGGGUGAAAGGCCAAUCAAACCG
rnacentral:rRNA from 1 species